rnacentral:rRNA from 1 species
CGAGAAUCAUUCACAAUGGGGGAAACCCUGACGCAGCAACGCCGCGUGAAGGAAGACGGUUUUCGGAUGGUAAACUUCUUUUGUUAAGGACGAAAAAGAUGACGGUACUUAACGAAUAAGCUCCGGCUAACGAUGUGCCAGCAGCCGCGGUAAUACAUAGGGAGCAAGCGUUGUCCGGAUUUACUGGGUGUAAAGGGUGCGUAGGCGGCAAGGCAAGUCAGAUGUGAAAUGUAUGGGCUCAACCCAUAAGCUGCAUUUGAAACUGUUUUGCUUGAGUGAAGUAGAGGCAGGCGGAAUUCCCGGUGUAGCGGUGAAAUGCGUAGAGAUCGGGAGGAACACCAGUGGCGAAGGCGGCCUGCUGGGCUUUAACUGACGCUGAGGCACGAAAGCGUGGGUAGCAAACAGG